rnacentral:misc_RNA from 1 species
AGCAGUUGCUGGGAAAACCAAGCUCUGUCUUAACAUCUACAAUUGUAAUGAAACCCAAUCUGGUAUUUUAACCACCCGUUAUAUUGAGAUGCAGAUGACAUUAGGCUAUUAGAAGACGCAUUUUCUCAGGUUUCCUCGUGCAAUGCAUACUAUAAAAGGAAAAAUAUCCCAGAUGAAUCCCAAGAAGUCACUGAAAGGGGUAGAUUUGAUUGGAAUAAUCCAAAAGAUUAUCAAAAUUUUAUGAUGAGUAUUUGAUGAUAAAGGCAAUGUCUAAACAACUGGCAACUUUUUCAACCUACAUAUCGACUUAAAAAUAAUAUUUGUUUGGGGAUACAAUCAAUCAUUAAUUAUACAUGCAGAGACCCCAAGAGGUGAGCUUUUCAUUGCAGUGCCGGCCAAAAUUAUUGAAAAAUGCUUCACAAAUCGAAAGUUAAGAGUUAAGACAGAAAAAGGGAGAAACAAUAAUAA